AGAUGGCGACCGGCGCACGGGUGAGUAACACGUAUCCAACCUGCCGAUAACUCGGGGAUAGCCUUUCGAAAGAAGGAUUAAUACCCGAUGGCAUAAUUAGACCGCAUGGUCUUAUUAUUAAAGAAUUUCGGUUAUCGAUGGGGAUGCGUUCCAUUAGGCAGUUGGUGAGGUAACGGCUCACCAAACCUUCGAUGGAUAGGGGUUCUGAGAGGAAGGUCCCCCACAUUGGAACUGAGACACGGUCCAA
rnacentral:rRNA from 1 species